ensembl:snRNA U2 U2 spliceosomal RNA
AUCCAUCUGCCUUUGCCUCUGGACUGCUGGAAUUAAAGGCUUGAGUCACUGAUACCCAGCUCUGAGGCCAAUAUAUUAAAUGGAGUUUUGGAACUAGGAGUUGGAAUAGGAGCUUGCUCCGUCCAUUUCAAUCAUAGACCUGGUAUUGCAGUACCUCCAGGAACGGUGUGCCCUCU